rnacentral:lncRNA from 1 species
AAAUAGCAGAUAUAUGUUUCUAUAAAAUUUAACUUUUUAUAUUUAUUCUCGCAAAACUCUUAACAUUUCAAAUAUAUUCCUGCUGUUAAUAUCCAUUAGAAAUAUAUAGUUAAACAUAAAUAAAAUAUUUAAUCUUAAUUAUUGAAUGAGGUAAAUUAAUCUUUAUACCCCUCUAAUAUUAUUUGUGAUGGAAGAAAGAAAGGAAACGGUUGAAAAUUUUAAAGCUUCUAAAUGCUUGAGGUAAAGUUUCAACUUAGAAUUUGGAUCCUUCAAUAGCUCACUGGAGUUCUGCUUCUUAAAGUUUUAUAGAAAAAAUUUUAGGCUAAACUACGCUUUUUUGAUCCUCAAACGAGAGAGAGAGGAUAUAUAUACAUCGUUGAUGUGGAAGUGAUCUUGCAUAUUAAUGAUCUUGCAUAUUAAUUAUUAUUGCAUCAUCAAUCAUAAUAUUUUUGUAUUAUUUUUACAUUAGCAAUAUAUUAAUAUUUAAUGAACUAAAUUAGAUGGUAGGACUUAAAUAUAAUAAUUAAGAAAAUUCAAAUUAAAAAUUAUAACAAAUUCAAGUUUGAACAUUAAAAUGUCACACACCUCAUAGCUUGAGAACCAACAGUAAAGUAACAGCCGAUUUUGGUACAAUGGAAAUAUCAACAAAUUAAAAUGCCGAGUAAAGUAACAGUUGGCGAGGGUGAACAGCUUUUUCUUUAAAACUGUAAAUAAACAAAGAGCCCGGCUAUUAUAAUCUUGUGAGUAUGAUCGUUUUGUAUUCGUAAGUUAUUUUCGAUGAUAAAGCUUUCAAACCGACUAUCUAUACCGUGAAAUAUUAUUUAGAGAAUUUAAAAUUUAUUGAAACUAAAUUUUAUAAUUUUUCGACGUUAUAUACCUAAUGAUCAAAAGAUUUUAAAGUUGACAACUUCUAAUGGCUGGUAAGGAAUGGUUGUUAACUUUAACAGUAUAAAAAAAUGAAAUUAGUUGAAUUUUUAAUAGAAAUUUUUUUUCACUAUAUAUAGAUAAAGAUCAAUUGCUUCAAUCUUAAAUGGGAUCGUCGAUUCGAAAGUUCAAUCUGU